CUUUGAGUAAAAUCCUAUUCCUUUCUCCAUUUCUACUUAAUUUCAAAUUUGAUGUUUACAGGCCUGCUUUUUGCUUGUAAUUGAGAACAUGUACAAAAAUACUGUGAAGAAGUCUGUGGAUAUUCAAUAGAUUAGAUUGUUCUGGUCUCUGUUCAUAUAUAGCUUUAUUCUCAGAAAUGUAACUUGAAUAAUGUGAUCUUUGAAGAGUCUUAGGCUUUUGCAAAUUGUGGCUAAGUUCUGUGAGAGCAGUCUUAAAAUGAAAAAUAUGGCUUUAUUGUCUUUAUAGUUCUUGCCCUAGUGAUUAUGUACUUGACUUCCGUGUUCCUAAGAAGUUUGAGUACUACUAGUAGAAUUACUCUGUAAAACUAAACAAGGAUUACUAGUACUUUUAUCUUCUACAUGCUUGAAGAAGAAAUGAACCAUAUCACUAGUAUAUUUCUUGUUUUCACUAAAAAAUAAAAAUAAAUGAAAAGUUAAAAAAAGACUGUCAAGGAAUAGAAAGAUUAGCUGUAUUUUGUCAUGUUUGAUGGAAUAGAGCUAGGCCCCAGAUGUGGAAAUUUUCGGAGGAUUAUUUUGGUUUACCAUAAAAGGGCAUUUGAUCCUGCAUAAAAAAAUAUCUUGGGGAAAGGAGAUCUCCAUCACUGUUGUAGUUCAAAUAGAGUUGAGUAUUGUGUUGGAGACCUAGAUAUCUCUGGUAUUCUUUUCAUUUUAAUGAUUCCAUUUAAUUUUUUUGGCAAUGCACUUUAGAAUGGGCAUCCUUUAGUUUACUUUGAACUCAGAGGUCCAUGUACUGACUGACUCUUUGCUUACUUUGAUCUUAAGGUUCAUUUACUGACCAACCUACCCAUUUCUGCUCUCCUACUCAAUUAAGAUGGAUUAAAGCUAGAAUAAUUACAUUUGCAAUGAGCACUAUUAGUCUGAACAGAUUACCGUCAUUAUAAUCUAAUUGCAUAGGUGCAAAUGACUUUGCGUAAAUGAGCAUCUGACAGACCAUUUCCAGUCAUUCUUUGUGCAGAGUACCAAUCGCAGUAUUUUAGAUGGAAUUUCAGUUUUAGGCUUUAACUUUGAUUAUGUUCUUCUUGGCAGGGAAAGGGCAAGCUGCAAUUUCACCACCUGGAGAGGUGCAGGCUUGAAGUUCACAGCUUCAAAGAAUGUGGCUGAUGGCUUCUCUGUUUUCUCAUCAAUCAAACCACUGAUCACUAUUUGUCACCCCUAGAGGUUUGGAUUCACUACUAAGGUACGAGACCAGACAGCUCUUUAUCUGUGCUGCAACUCAUUUGUUAUUUGUUGUCUGUUAUCUUACAAUCCUGAUCCAGACUUCCAUUUGAACUUCUACAUUAAAAUCAUCGCCAUGUCUGUAGCUUGAAGCAUGAUUCUAUCAG
rnacentral:lncRNA from 1 species